AUUAGAUGAGCCUAUAUUAGAUUAGCUAGUUGGUGGAGUAAUAGCCUACCAAGGCAAUGAUCUAUAGCUGAUCUGAGAGGAUGAUCAGCCACACUGGAACUGAGAUACGGUCCAGACUCCUACGGGAGGCAGCAGUGGGGAAUAUUGGACAAUGGGCGAAAGCCUGAUCCAGCUAUGCCGCAUGAGUGAAGAAGGCCUUUGGGUUGUAAAGCUCUUUUAGUGAGGAAGAUAAUGACGGUACUCACAGAAGAAGUCCUGGCUAACUCCGUGCCAGCAGCCGCGGUAAUACGGAGAGGGCUAGCGUUAUUCGGAAUUAUUGGGCGUAAAGGGCGCGUAGGCUGAUUAAUAAGUUAAAAGUGAAAUCCCGAGGCUUAACCUUGGAAUUGCUUUUAGAACUAUUAAUCUAGAGAUUGAAAGAGGAUAGAGGAAUUCCUAAUGUAGAGGUAAAAUUCGUAAAUAUUAGGAGGAACACCAGUGGCGAAGGCGUCUAUCUGGUUCAAAUCUGACGCUGAGGCGCGAAGGCGUGGGGAGCAAACAGGAUUAGAUACCCUGGUAGUCCACGCUAUAAACGAUGAAUGUUAAAUAUGGGAAG
rnacentral:rRNA from 1 species